AACGAACGCUGGCGGCAUGCCUAACACAUGCAAGUCGAACGAGACCUUCGGGUCUAGUGGCGCACGGGUGCGUAACGCGUGGGAACCUGCCCUUAGGUUCGGAAUAACUCCCCGAAAGGGGUGCUAAUACCGGAUAAUGUCUUCGGACCAAAGAUUUAUCGCCUUUGGAUGGGCCCGCGUUGGAUUAGCUAGUUGGUAGGGUAAAAGCCUACCAAGGCGACGAUCCAUAGCUGGUCUGAGAGGAUGAUCAGCCACACUGGGACUGAGACACGGCCCAGACUCCUACGGGAGGCAGCAGUGGGGAAUAUUGAACAAUGGGCGAGAGCCUGAUCCAGCAAUGCCGCGUGAGUGAUGAAGGCCUUAGGGUUGUAAAGCUCUUUUACCCGGGAUGAUAAUGACAGUACCGGGAGAAUAAGCUCCGGCUAACUCCGUG
rnacentral:rRNA from 1 species